CUACAGUUUGUAGUAAGUUUGUACCGCAGUUCCUGAUGCGCACGUGUCGUGAAGAGAGAGUAGCAGUGAAUUUGAGAUUAUUUUAAUAGUGUUUUGUUAGAAACAUACAAGUGACAAGUACCAAAUAUAGACAACAGUGUUUGUAUAGUAAGAGAUCAUUGAAACCUGUCAUGUAUCUGGAAAUCAUUGUGCAUAUAACAGACUUGGAGAUGGCAAUCUCUGUUUAAUCAAGACCCUUGACAUCAGCACUGUGGUCACACUUGGCCCACCAGCAGCCAUGACCAGGAAGAACGGCCUACCACCUAAGGCCAACGGGACCUUAACUAGAAAGAAGGACCCGCAGAAGAUUACCAGGUGAGUCAGGAGUCGCUGCUAGGUAGAGGGAGGUUGUGAUAAGAAUAACGGUGCGCCAAUCACGGAGAAGCGAUACAUACGGCCCGUAGCUGUUGGUCGCUACUGUUAUACAUGUAGUCAGUUUAUGCGCUGGUCUUCUGUUGCUUUGGGGGAAUAACAUUGUGAUGUGAUCGUAAUGAAUCUUUUUUCCCCAUUCCAAAUGCUGAUACUGCAAUGUGUUUAUUGCAGUAAGACUGGGGGAAGAAGUUGAAUGUACAAAAUUGUUGAAGAUGGGUGGGUAGUUGGGUGUGAAAUAUGGGGAUUAGUAAAAAAAAAAAAAAAAAAAAAAAAAAAAAAAAAAGAUUGGAUUAA